rnacentral:lncRNA from 1 species
CUCGGGUGUGGCCUGGGGGCUUUCGAGGGCAGAUGCCUUGGAGCAGGAGAAAUGGGCAGUGCUACUGGACCUGAUGGAUCCAGCGGCAUCCUUUUCCUGAAAGAGAUUCUAAUGUUCCACCUGUGCUCUUCCUCCCUGCGGGGUCACCAAAGUAACUCAAAGCUGACCAUCAUUGCCUCUAACCAUUAGAGCAAAUAGCUCUAUCAUUUUCUUAUUUCUCACCACCUAUUUCGUGCCUGGCACUGUGUUUAAUGCUAGAUCACAAGCUCAUCUUUUUUCCUGUUUUUUCAACCUGGGUCAGUAUGAUGCAGGACUAGAGAGAAAUGAGAAGAGAAAAAUGAGGGUCAGUCUAUGAGCCAAGAGACAAAGUCAUGGGAAGACAGCUGAGGCUAAUUCCAGAAGGUCCUCCUAGGAGAAGCCAAAGCAGGGGACACACCUCAAAAUAGAGCCAUGCAUAGAACCACUCAUAGCCAGACUGCAAGGCAGGAACAUGAGGAUGGUCACUAGGAGGCCAACAAAUUCUGCUAAAGGGGAUUCUUUUUAUAAAAUACACUCUUUCAGGACAUUGUCAGAUCCUCUGCAUAUAGUCCUCAAAAUACGUCCUUGAUCCAGCUUGUUUUAAGUGUUUAUGCAAAAUAAUGGUAUGUUUGAAAGUGUUAGAUAUUAAUUUUUUAUUUCUGUUUUGAAGGCAUUCAAGUAUCACGGACUAUCAGCACCUUCGUUUCUUUUUUUUUUUUUUUUAAGCCAAAGCUACUGGAUCAAAAGUAAUAUACUGCUUUGUUUGUAUGUGAUGUUUGGGGAGAAGAAAAGUCGAAAUUCACAUAACUGAAAUUUUAAUCAAUCCUAACACUCUUUUUUUAUGAUGAGCCAUAUGUAUGAUCCAUAAACAGCUUCUAAACCUAUCCAUGUAAUCACAGCUCAGGUUAGAAAGGUUGCCUGUGUAGAGCAGGGUCAUAGGAUGAGCUCCCUCGAGGGGGCAGGAGGCUGCUGGAGGAGUGAACAUCAAGAAGCCUACAGGGAAGCAGUACACCAGCUGGAAAAACAUGACACCAGAUGCAAUAAUAAUCAUGAAGAGAUGUAGGCCCCACAACAGCCAAGGAUUUUGUAAAAAGGAAAGGAAGAUACUUGGGUGAAUGAGCCACUUUAUAUGCCAGUUCUGGGUGACACUUAAACACCAGCGUCAGGAAAAUCAAUCCUCAGUAGUUAGCUACCCACUGACCUACCCUUUUGCACCUAAGCUACAAGUACAUUUGUAGUCAUGAGAAGCACAAUCCCAAGUUCUAACCAUGCUCUUCAAAAGACCACUCAUCAUUGAGGGAGUUUGUUUAUUAAAACCAAUCUGUGGAACUUCCAGCUCCCUGGUGGAUCUUAAAAUUUCAGGAAAAAAAGUUAUAUUUACCUUCAAACCCAAAAUUCAGAAUGUGAAUUUAUAAUAUCACCAUAAAACUCUGUGAAAAUUGAGUUUUACCUUGGAAGAAAUAAUAUAGGUUGAUGAUCAGUCAUGUAACGUGCCUGAAAUACAAACAUAUUUAUGGGAACUCACACUUUCCUUAGAACCCAUCAGUGAGAACAACAGGUGAGCUCCUGCUUCCCAGCUUUGUACUAAGAAUAUUGGUUACCUUGUCUUAUGGAAAACGAGGAUGUCUUGGAUUUGCAUCCAAAUAAUCCAAUGCAGGUAGUUAGCAAGGAACACAGCAAGUGGAUUAGAGGAUAAACAAGACAAGAAUGGCCAUGUGAAAGCCGGGAUAUGGAUACAUGAGGGUUCGGGUAUGCUCUACUUGGGUGUGUUUUCAAGUUUUCCAUAAUAAAAAAUGUAAAAGUGUAUUUAAAUGUUUCACUUAGGCUGGGUGUGGUGGCUCACUCUGUAAUCUCAGCACUUUGGGAGGCCAAGCAGGCAGAUCACUUGAGGUCAGGAGUUUGAGAGCAGCCUGGCCAACAUGGUAAAACCCUGUCUCUACUAAAACUACGAAAAAUUAGCCAGGUGCAGUAGCAUGCACCUGUAAUCCCAGCUGCUUGGGAGGCUGAGGCAGGAGAAUUGUUUGAACCUGGGAGGUGGAUGUUGCAGUGAGCCAAGAUAGUGCCACUAUACUCCAGCCUGGGUGACAGAGCGAGACCCUGUCUCAAAAAUAAAAAUUAAAUUAAAAUAAUUUUUUAACU